GACGAACGCUGGUGGCGUGCCUAAUACAUGCAAGUCGAACGCAGUGGGGACGGGUGAGUAACACGUGGGUAACCUCCCAUCAGAGGGGAUAACACUUGGAAACAGGUGCUAAACCGAUACUGAUGGAAGUACCCGCUGUGCAUUAGCUAGUUGGUGAGGUAACGGCUCACAAAGGCCACGAUGCAGAGCCGACCUGAGAGGGUGAUGGGCCCCACGGGGACUGUGACAAGGCCACAACUCCUACGGGAGGCAGCAGUAGGGAAUGUUCGGCAAUGGACGAAAGUCUGACCGAGCAACGCCGCGUCAGUGAAGAGGGUUUUCGUAUCGUAAAACUCUGUUGUUAGAGCAGCGGUAUCUAACCAGAAAGCCACGGCUAACUACGUGCCAGCAGCCGCGGUAAUAC
rnacentral:rRNA from 1 species